CGGCGAGUGAGCGGCAAAAGCUCAAAUUUGAAAUCUGGCACUUUCAGUGUCCGAGUUGUAAUUUGAAGAAGGUAUCUUUGGGUCUGGCUCUUGUCUAUGUUUCUUGGAACAGAACGUCACAGAGGGUGAGAAUCCCGUGCGAUGAGAUGACCCAGACCUAUGUAAAGUUCCUUCGAAGAGUCGAGUUGUUUGGGAAUGCAGCUCUAAGUGGGUGGUAAAUUCCAUCUAAAGCUAAAUAUUGGCGAGAGACCGAUAGCGAACAAGUACAGUGAUGGAAAGAUGAAAAGAACUUUGAAAAGAGAGUGAAAAAGUACGUGAAAUUGUUGAAAGGGAAGGGCUUGAGAUCAGACUUGGUAUUUUGUAUGUUACUCUUUCGGGGGUGGCCUCUACAGUUUACCGGGCCAGCAUCAGUUUGGGCGGUAGGAGAAUUGCAAAGAAAUGUGGCACUGCCUCGGUAGUGUGUUAUAGUCUUUGUCGAUACUGCCAGCCUAGACUGAGGACUGCGGCUUCGGCCUAGGAUGUUGGCAUAAUGAUCUUAAGUCGCCCGUCUUGA
rnacentral:rRNA from 2 species